CAAGAAACCAUCGACCAACUCUCUCUCUUUUAUCCAUAUUGUUUAACCACUGCAAUUCACAGUGCAUCCUACAUGCCCAAUGCUAGUAUCCUAAGGCAGGCCAGUUAAUUUAGACAAACUUAUACAGGAAGGCAGAAAAGAACCAAACUGCACACAAAAACCAAAAUAGAAUAAGAAACAAAGGGCCAAAUAAGCAUAGGGCUAUCAUCUUACCCCUUCAGA
rnacentral:lncRNA from 1 species